ensembl:lncRNA
AGCACUCAAAAUGUGGCGACAAAUGUGUCCUACUUUUCCGCGAAUUUGAGGGUUAGUUGUGUCCGAAUUCAGGGGAAGGAUGCGCCAAUGCCAUAUUUGGAGGCAAUGACGUCACGGCGACCCAACGAAGGCUGUCCGAAUUCAAAGAGCACUCAAAAUGUGGCGACAAAUGCGUCCUACUUUGCCCUGAAUUCUAAGGAUGGUCUGAUGUAUCCUUCAUGUCCUACUAUAUCCCAGGAUUCAUUGCGGGUCAUAGAGGAGAUUUGUUUCUGAUAACGAUGGUGGUCGAAGCAGGAGAGGAAAACACUUUCAUAUGACAAUUCUGGAGAGGAUGGGCCUGCAGGGGAAAGUCACCCCCUUGCAGGCCAGAAGACAUGAGAUAACUUUAAAAAAUACAAAGAUUGCAAGUAUCCAGGCUCAGGAGAGGGGG